rnacentral:rRNA from 1 species
UACAGAGGGUGCAAGCGUUUAAUCGGAGUUACUGGGCGUAAAGGGCGCGUAGGCGGUCAUGCAAGUGAGAUGUGAAAUCCCCGGGCUUAACCUGGGAACUGCAUUUUAGACUGUGUGACUGGAGUACUGUAGAGGAUAGUGGAAUUUCCGGUGUAGCGGUGAAAUGCGUAGAGAUCGGAAGGAACACCAGUGGCGAAGGCGACUGUCUGGACAAUACUGACGCUGAGGCGCGAAAGCGUGGGGAGCAAACAGG